rnacentral:rRNA from 1 species
GACGAACGCUGGCGGCGUGCCUAAUACAUGCAAGUAGAACGCUGAAGGAGGAGCUUGCUUCUCUGGAUGAGUUGCGAACGGGUGAGUAACGCGUAGGUAACCUGCCUGGUAGCGGGGGAUAACUAUUGGAAACGAUAGCUAAUACCGCAUAAGAGUAGAUGUUGCAUGACAUUUGCUUAAAAGUUGCAAUUGCAUCACUACCAGCUGGACCUGCGUUGUAUUAGCUAGUUGGUGGGGUAACGGCUCACCAAGGCGACGAUACAUAGCCGAACUGAGAGGGGGAUCGGCCACACUGGGACGGAGACACGGCCCAGACUCCUACGGGAGGCAGCAGUAGGGAAUCUUCGGCAAUGGACGGAAGUCUGACCGAGAAACGCCGCGUGAGGGAAGAAGGUUGUCGGAUCGGAAAGCUCUGUUGUAAGAGAAGAACGAGUGUGAGAGUGGAAAGUUCACACUGUGACGGUAUCUUACCAGAAAGGGACGGCUAACUACGUG